rnacentral:rRNA from 1 species
UACAGGGGGGGCAAGCGUUGUUCGGAAUUACUGGGCGUAAAGGGUUCGUAGGGGGCCACUUAAGUCAGACGUGAAAUCCCUCAGCUUAACUGGGGAACUGCGUCUGAUACUGCGUGGCUUGAGUGCAGGAGAGGAAUGCGGAAUUCCAGGUGUAGCGGUGAAAUGCGUAGAUAUCUGGAGGAACACCGGUGGCGAAGGCGGCAUUCUGGACUGUAACUGACACUGAUGAACGAAAGCCAGGGGAGCAAACGGG